UUAGCCAGUCGAGAGGAAGAACGAAACAAAAGGAUGAAAUUCAUGAGGUUGGAAGAAACCCCUGUUGCAUUUGUUUGGACAAGCUCCAUUUCCCUACGUUGCCCCUGCUUCUUCUUCUCAUGGGACUCUCCCUUCUCCCAUCCUCUCUCAACUUCCUCUCCUCUGCCCCCCCAAAAAGGAGGUCAUUAUGUAGGAAAUUUCAAGUGCCACGUUGUUGCUUGGACGCUCCAUCCCCACCGGAUACAUUGGAUUUGGAUUCCUAUGGGAAGGGAAAAAGAUGGUUCAUUGGCUCUCUCUUUGCAGCAGCAACUGGCGUUGACAUCUGUGACACAGCUGCUGCUGUUAGUACAAGUAGAAGAGCUCUUAGAGGGGCUAAGAUACCUGAAACUGAAUACACUACUCUCCCAAAUGGGCUAAAGUACUAUGACUUGAAGGUUGGAGGUGGGCCUGAAGCUGUGAAGGGAUCACGCGUUGCAGUUCAUUAUGUUGCCAAGUGGAGGAAUGUUACUUUCAUGACUAGUAGGCAAGGGCUUGGUGUUACUGGUGGAUCUCCUUAUGGAUUUGAUGUGGGUCAAUCUGAGAGAGGAUCUGUCCUUAAAGGACUGGAUCUAGGGGUUAUAGGCAUGAGGGUAGGAGGCCAGAGAUUGUUGAUAGUUCCUCCUGAGCUUGCUUAUGGAAGUAAAGGAGUCCAAGAGAUUCCUCCAAAUGCGACGAUUGAGUUGGAUAUUGAACUACUGUCUAUCAAGCAAAGUCCAUUUGGGACUGGUGUAAAGCUUGUGGAAGGAUGACAAAUUUCAGGAUCUAAAGAUGGGGUGGAUGAUUGGUGAAGGGCAUGACUCUAAUUGACUCCACUAGGUCAAGAAUGAAACGACCGAAGUUGGAGUUGCGUUGCAAGCUAACAUCUCUCCACAUCAAUGGCAUUCUAGGUUUACUCCAGACGUUCCAAGAGAAGUAUUGAAGCACCUAGUGAUGUGCCCUCUGCCAGUUCUACAAUCUGUCUAAAGAUCCUCCUCUUCAGUCUUCACCAGACUUGUUGAAUGAAGCUGAUCAACAUAUUGCUAUUCGAAAGGGUAUACGUUCUUGUACUCUACAUCUUAUUCCCAAAUUAUCUUUUUUCAUUGAAUGGUCUAUCACCUAUUUCCCUUCGAAAGGGUACAUGUUCUUGUACUCUUCAUUUCGAUAGUUUACUUUGUCCUUGUAGUCUGUGUUUAUCCCUCGAUCGUUUCAGGAGGCUCUACAUUCUUAUGGGUGUAAAAGAGCUAUAGAAGAAGAAAUGGUUGCGCUUCAUCAAAAUCAAACUUGGACUUUGGCUAAAUUACUUGCAGGAAAGCGUGUAGUAGGGUGUAGAUGGGUAUAUACCGUGAAGCACAAGUCUGAUGGCACUGUGGAUCGUUUAAAGGCUCGUUUAGUGGCAAAAGGAUAUGCUCAAAUGUUUGGAAAUGACUAGUCUAAAACCUUUUCCCCGGUGACCAAGCUUCAUUUAAUUUGUUUCUUCAUGAUGAUUUACUUGAAAAAGUAUAUAUGGAUCAACCACCUGGCUUUGUUGCUUAGGGGGAAUCUGAUAAAGUCUGCUGGCUAAGAAAGUUUAUUU